rnacentral:lncRNA from 1 species
UGGAAAGCCAGCAGUGAACGGCUUGAUCAUCAUGGGUCUGCCUUCAGCUUCUGGAUGCUGAGAUCUGCAGGGACUGAUCCGCAGGGAUGCCUGUCUUUGAUGGGAGUGGGAGAGGGGGAAGGAGUUGCCUGAGGAGCUUGGAUGCUGGAUGCUGGCCUCGGUGCAGAGGGGCAGGAGCUUAGCAUCUGUACCUGCUGUGUCUCCACCGCAGACCCUCCUCCACCUGUGUGUGUUGGGGGGUGAGGGGGUUCCUCCAGGGUGAACAUAACAACAAACAGCAGGAAGGAAGGGAUCCAGGCAACCAGCACACGAUAUGGGAUAUUGGCUACGUGAUGGGAAAUGUUCUGGGGUCAGAUCAGAAAAUGUCAGACCUUCUUACACGCGUUCGUGACCGGCCAGGAAGAACGCAACAAACCGGAAUCUUCUGCGGCAAAAGCUUUAUUGCUUACAUCUUCAGGAGCAAGAGAGCAAGAGCAAGAGCAAGAGAGAGAAUGGCGAAACCCCGUCCCUUUUAAGGAGA